UUCCGGUUGAUCCUGCCGGACCUGACUGCUAUCGGAUUGAUACUAAGCCAUGCGAGUCAUUGUAGCAAUACAAGGCAGACGGCUCAGUAACGCGUAGUCAACCUACCCUAUGGACGGGAAUAACCUCGGGAAACUGAGUAUAAUGCCCGAUAGAACAUUAUGCCUGGAAUGGGUUUAUGUUCCAAAUGAUUUAUCGCCGUAGGAUGGGACUGCGGCCUAUCAGUUUGUUGGUGAGGUAAUGGCCCACCAAGACUAUUACAGGUACGGGCUCUGAGAGGAGUAGCCCGGAGAUGGGUACUGAGACACGGACCCAGGCCCUAUGGGGCGCAGCAGGCGAGAAAACUUUGCAAUGUGCGAAAGCACGACAAGGUUAAUCCGAGUGGUUUCUGCUAAAGGAACCUUUUGUUAGUCCUAGAAACACUAACGAAUAAGGGGUGGGCAAGUUCUGGUGUCAGCCGCCGCGGUAAAACCAGCACCUCAAGUGGUCAGGAUGAUUAUUGGGCCUAAAGCAUCCGUAGCCUGCUCUGUAAGUUUUCGGUUAAAUCUGUACGCUUAACGUACAGGCUGUCGGGAAUACUGCAGAGCUAGGGAGUGGGAGAGGUAGACGGUACUCGGGAGGAAGUGGUAAAAUGCUUUGAUCUCUCGAUGACCACCUGUGGCGAAGGCGGUCUACCAGAACACGUCCGACGGUGAGGGAUGAAAGCUGGGGGAGCAAACCGGAUUAGAUACCCGGGUAGUCCCAGCUGUAAACUAUGCAAACUCAGUGAUGCAUUGGCUUGGUGCCAAUGCAGUGUUGCAGGGAAGCCGUUAAGUUUGCCGCCUGGGAAGUACGUACGCAAGUAUGAAACUUAAAGGAAUUGGCGGGGGAGCACCACAAGGGGUGAAGCCUGCGGUUCAAUUGGAGUCAACGCCGGGA
rnacentral:rRNA from 1 species